rnacentral:rRNA from 1 species
GUCAUCUCUAAGGAUGGUAUUUCCAUCAACCCCGAGCGAGUUCAGGCUAUUCUUGAUUGGACUCCUCCCAAGAACGUUAAGCAAGUCAGAAGUUUUCUCGGUCUCGCCAGCUAUUGCCGUCGAUUCGUCGAGAACUUCUCCAAGAUCGCCAGGCCUCUGACUAACCUGUUGCAUAAGGGCGUCAAGUUCCAAUGGACAGACAAAUGUCAGGAAAGUUUCCAGGCACUCAAAGACAAGUUGACUUCUGCUCCAGUUCUAGCUCCACCUGAUACUAAGAAGGACUUCGUCAUUUACUGCGAU